rnacentral:rRNA from 1 species
AUUGAACGCUGGCGGCAGGCCUAACACAUGCAAGUCGAACGGCAGCGGGAAAGUAGCUUGCUACUUUUGCCGGCGAGCGGCGGACGGGUGAGUAAUGCCUGGGAAAUUGCCCAGUCGAGGGGGAUAACAGUUGGAAACGACUGCUAAUACCGCAUACGCCCUACGGGGGAAAGCAGGGGACCUUCGGGCCUUGCGCGAUUGGAUAUGCCCAGGUGGGAUUAGCUAGUUGGUGAGGUAAUGGCUCACCAAGGCGACGAUCCCUAGCUGGUCUGAGAGGAUGAUCAGCCACACUGGAACUGAGACACGGUCCAGACUCCUACGGGAGGCAGCAGUGGGGAAUAUUGCACAAUGGGGGAAACCCUGAUGCAGCCAUGCCGCGUGUGUGAAGAAGGCCUUCGGGUUGUAAAGCACUUUCAGCGAGGAGGAAAGGUUGAUGCCUAAUACGUAUCAACUGUGACGUUACUCGCAGAAGAAGCACCGGCUAACUCCGUGCCAGCAGCCGCCGCAGUAA